GCUGAUAUGGCUCAGUUGGUAGCGCACUCCCUUGGUAAGGGUGAGGUCCCCAGUUCGACUCUGGGUAUCGGCU
rnacentral:tRNA from 1 species